rnacentral:lncRNA from 1 species
GAAAUCCUAUCUGUGUUAGGUCACAUGGGCUGAGGUGAAUUAGGGCUGUAGGCGGAGUUCAAGCUUCUGACCUAGUGACCUUGAUUUGGAUCAAGUAUCCUGAAUGAUCCAGACCGGCCCGACACCAUCAGUAGGGUCUUUUUAGAAGAAAGAAGGGAGCAGAAGAGAGACGGGAAGUGUGGGUGCGGUGUUGCUGUUUGAAGACGAUAGGGUCACCUGGAUGAGAGUUCCCAGAACGCGCACGCGCACACAGCUUUGCUGACGCCACGGCUCUAACUUAGUGAGACUCACUUCUGCUCAUUUGACUAGGUCUACUGUAUGUUAUUUGUUGAUGAAACACGUUCUCCCUGAUUCAUCCGUGUUAAGAGCUUCCAAGCCAUUUAGUUAAUGAAACCGUUUCCUCUGAAGAGGGCCUGGCCUGCGAUCAUCCAGAGCGUA